rnacentral:rRNA from 1 species
UCUCGUGACUGCGUGCCUUUUGAAGAAUGAGCCUGCGAGUUUGCGGUGUGUUGCGAGGUUAACCCGGGUGGGGUAGCCGUAGCGAAAGCGAGUCCGAAGAGGGCGUUUUAGUAGCAUGCUCAAGACCCGAAGCGGAGUGAUCUAGCCAUGGGCAGGCUGAAGCGCGGGUAAGACCGUGUGGAGGGCCGAACCCACCAGGGUUGAAAACCUGGGGGAUGACCUGUGGUUAGGGGUGAAAGGCCAAUCAAACUCCGUGAUAGCUGGUUCUCCCCGAAAUGCAUUUAGGUGCAGCGUCGUGUGUUUCUUGCCGGAGGUAGAGCACUGGAUAGGCGAUGGGCCCUACCGGGUUACUGACCUUAGCCAAACUCCGAAUGCCGGUAAGUGAGAGCGCGGCAGUGAGACUGUGGGGGAUAAGCUCCAUGGUCGAGAGGGAAACAGCCCAGAGCAUCGACUAAGGCCCCUAAGCGUACGCUAAGUGGGAAAGGAUGUGGAGUCGCAGAGACAACCAGGAGGUUGGCUUAGAAGCAGCCAUCCUUGAAAGAGUGCGUAAUAGCUCACUGGUCUAGUGAUUCCGCGCCGACAAUGUAGCGGGGCUCAAGCGUACCGCCGAAGUCGUGUCAUUGCAGCAUGUAGGGCCAACGCCCGCUGUGAUGGGUAGGGGAGCGUCGUGUGCCGGGUGAAGCAGCCGUGUAAGCGAGUUGUGGACGGUUCACGAGUGAGAAUGCAGGCAUGAGUAGCGAUUCACACGUGGGAAACGUGUGCGCCGAUUGACUAAGGGUUCCUGGGUCAAGCUGAUCUGCCCAGGGUAAGUCGGGACCUAAGGCGAGGCCGACAGGCGUAGUCGAUGGAUAACCGGUUGAUAUUCCGGUACCCGCUGUGAAGCGUCAAACAUCGAGCAUCGUGAUGCUAAGGCCGUGAAGCCGUUCCGGACCCUUCGGGGAAUGGAAAGUGGUGGAGCCGCUGAACCGAGCGGUUAGUAGGUGAGUGAUGGGGUGACGCAGGAAGGUAGUCCAUCCCGGGCGGUGGUUGUCCCGGGGUAAGGGUGUAGGCCGUGAUCUAGGCAAAUCCGGAUCACACAAGGCUGAGACCUGAUGCCGAGCCGAUUGUGGUGAAGUGGAUGAUCCUAUGCUGUCGAGAAAAGCCUCUAGCGAGUUUUAUGGCGGCCCGUACCCUAAACCGACUCAGGUGGUCUGGUAGAGAAUACCGAGGCGUUCGGGUGAACUAUGGUUAAGGAACUCGGCAAAAUGCCCCCGUAACUUCGGGAGAAGGGGGGCCAUUCCUGGUGAUCGGGUUUACUCCGUGAGCUGGGGGUGGCCGCAGAGACCAGCGAGAAGCGACUGUUUACUAAAAACACAGGUCCGUGCGAAGCCGUAAGGCGAUGUAUACGGACUGACGCCUGCCCGGUGCUGGAACGUUAAGGGGACCGGUUAGCUCACUUUCGGGUGGGCGAAGCUGAGAACUUAAGCGCCAGUAAACGGCGGUGGUAACUAUAACCAUCCUAAGGUAGCGAAAUUCCUUGUCGGGUAAGUUCCGACCUGCACGAAUGGCGUAACGACUUCUCGACUGUCUCAACCAUAGGCCCGGUGAAAUUGCACUACGAGUAAAGAUGCUCGUUUCGCGCAGCAGGACGGAAAGACCCCGGGACCUUUACUACAGUUUGAUAUUGGUGUUCGGUUCGGCUUGUGUAGGAUAGCUGGGAGACUUUGAAGCGUGGACGCCAGUUCAUGUGGAGUCGUCGUUGAAAUACCAGUCUGGUCGUGCUGGAUGUCUAACCUGGGUCCGUGAUCCGGAUCAGGGACAGUGUCUGAUGGGUAGUUUAACUGGGGCGGUUGCCUCCUAAAGGGUAACGGAGGCGCCCAAAGGUUCCCUCAGCCUGGUUGGUAAUCAGGUGUUGAGUGUAAGUGCACAAGGGAGCUUGACUGUGAGACCGACGGGUCGAGCAGGGACGAAAGUCGGGACUAGUGAUCCGGCGGUGGCUUGUGGAAGCGCCGUCGCUCAACGGAUAAAAGGUACCCCGGGGAUAACAGGCUGAUCUUCCCCAAGAGUCCAUAUCGACGGGAUGGUUUGGCACCUCGAUGUCGGCUCGUCGCAUCCUGGGGCUGGAGUCGGUCCCAAGGGUUGGGCUGUUCGCCCAUUAAAGCGGUACGCGAGCUGGGUUUAGAACGUCGUGAGACAGUUCGGUCCCUAUCCGCUGUGCGCGUAGGAGUCUUGAGAAGGGCUGUCCCUAGUACGAGAGGACCGGGACGGACGAACCUCUGGUGUGCCAGUUGUUCUGCCAAGGGCAUGGCUGGUUGGCUACGUUCGGGAGGGAUAACCGCUGAAAGCAUCUAAGCGGGAAGCCUGCUUCGAGAUGAGGACUCCCACCUCCUAUGAGAGGGUAAGGCUCCCAGUAGACGACUGGGUUGAUAGGCCAGGUCUGGAAGCCCGGUAACGGGUGGAGGUGACUGGUACUAAUAGGCCGAGGGCUUGUCCUC